rnacentral:lncRNA from 1 species
UCAACAGGACUGAUGUUCUAACAAAAAGAGGAAGAGACAUCAGGAGUACUUGCAUACAGAGAAAACACAAUGUGAGGACACAACGAGAAGGCAGCCAACUGCAAACCAAGGAGAGACCUCACAAGAUACCAGUGCUGUCUGCGCCUUGAUAUUGGACUUCCCAGACUCCAGAACCGUGAGAAAAACAUGUCUGUUAUUUAAGUCACACCAUCUGUGGCAUUUUGUUAUGGCAGUCCAAGCAGUCUAAUAGAGAAGCUGAUAGGCAAAGAUAGAAAUGCAUGAUUAGAGAACUUGAAGGGAAGAUCUUAGAGAAAGGACAGCAUGUUAAAGCCUGGUCAUCAAAGUGUCUGUUAAUUCAGGGUCUGGUGAAACGUCAGUGAGGCAGGAGCCCAGGGUAACUGGAGAAAACUGGGAAAGGAAAAAAAGUACUGAAAUGUUUCGGAAAGAGCCUUGAAUGCUAAAGUUAACAAUUUCUAACUAAUUGUGUUUGCGGUAAGAAAUGAGCAGAAAUGUUAAAUAGAAGAGUGGCAUGAUUACAUUUUAAUAGGUUCUUUUACAGAGUGUGUGAAAGAUAUCACAUGCAGCAAGGUGGAAUGAAAUAUUAAGGGGAAUAACAGGUUGGAGAUACGUACAAUAAAUCAGGAGCACAACGGGAUGCUCUGUUGCCAUGACUAUGAAGGUCAGAACUCAGCCUGCUGCCCAUGGUACCAAAGAUCAUGAUUCUCUCUUCGUGCAUGGCUGUUCCCAAUAGCCUGCACAAAGACGUGUCUGCAGUUGCCACUUCUAUCCAUCUGUCUACUUUUAGCAGAUACAAAGUCCAAAUCCCUAGCCGUUGUAAUUAUUAG